rnacentral:rRNA from 1 species
UACGUAGGCAGCAAGCGUUGUUCGGAGUUACUGGGCGUAAAGGGUGUGUAGGCGGUCCUCUAAGUUUGGUGUGAAAUCUCCCGGCUCAACUGGGAGGGUGCGCCGAAAACUGGAGGGCUAGAGUACUGGAUGGGAGAGUGGAAUUCCUGGUGUAGCGGUGAAAUGCGUAGAUAUAGGGAGGAACAUCAGUGGCGAAGGCGACACCCUGGACCAGCACUGACACUGAGGCACGAAAGCGUGGGGAGCAAACAGG